GUAGGUAUAGCUCAGUGGUAGAGUGCAUGCUUAGCAUGCACGAGGUCCUGGGUUCAAUCCUCAGUACCGCUG
rnacentral:tRNA from 1 species